UACGAAGGGGGCUAGCGUUGCUCGGAAUCACUGGGCGUAAAGGGUGCGUAGGCGGGUCUUUAAGUCAGGGGUGAAAUCCUGGAGCUCAACUCCAGAACUGCCUUUGAUACUGAGGAUCUUGAGUCCGGGAGAGGUGAGUGGAACUGCGAGUGUAGAGGUGAAAUUCGUAGAUAUUCGCAAGAACACCAGUGGCGAAGGCGGCUCACUGGCCCGGUACUGACGCUGAGGCACGAAAGCGUGGGGAGCAACAGG
rnacentral:rRNA from 1 species